UGUAACAGUGAUUGAUUCCCAGAGGUUCUAUGCAGGAUGAGAUAAGGGUGGACACAUCCUCUCCCCAUCAGCAAAGACCCUUGUAAAGGUCAGAGAGGCAAUGGUCCAUACUGGGAUGUCCCCCCCCCCGAUGACUACUCAGGAAGAUAGCCUUUGGGUACUGCUGAAAACCUGAGGGGAGAUAUAUAAGCCAUUCAGCCCCUAGAACCUAGUGUUGGGGGACACUGCCUCUACUCUCCAAAGACAAGUAGAGACAGUAGAUGACUUCAGUGAACUCUGAAGUGUUCUGAAGAAAAAGAAUUUCCAAGCAAUCUUCUCUGAGAUUCUUCCUUUCCCAUGAAAGAAGGAAGAGAGGAGGCAGAAGAUUCUGGAACUGACCUGCUAGCUAAGUUAUAUCUUGAAUGUUUAUGGAUCAAUAUGCCAAUGGAUAAAGCACAAGAUGGAAUAUUAAUUGUUGUCUGCUACAGACCACCAGAUCACACUACUGAACAGGAUGACCAGCUUCUUAUGAACUUAUCUACUAUCUGCAGGGGUACAUUAAAUAAGACCUGGGCCCAACAUCGAAUAUGGAGGAUAAAAAGAAACGUUAACUUCCUACCCAUCCAUUGAAAGGCAGGCAUCUUUGGAAAAAAUACUAUGUGAUCAUAUAAUUAAAAACU